rnacentral:rRNA from 1 species
AGAGUUUGAUCCUGGCUCAGGACGAACGCUGGCGGCGUGCUUAACACAUGCAAGUCGAACGAGAAUCUGUGGAAAGAGGAUUCGUCCAAUUGAAGCAGAGGACAGUGGCGGACGGGUGAGUAACGCGUGAGGAACCUGCCUUUCAGAGGGGGACAACAGUUGGAAACGACUGCUAAUACCGCAUGACACAUAGGUGUCGCAUGGCACUUAUGUCAAAGAUUUAUCGCUGAAAGAUGGCCUCGCGUCUGAUUAGCUAGUUGGUGAGGUAACGGCCCACCAAGGCGACGAUCAGUAGCCGGACUGAGAGGUUGAACGGCCACAUUGGGACUGAGAUACGGCCCAGACUCCUACGGGAGGCAGCAGUGGGGAAUAUUGGGCAAUGGGCGCAAGCCUGACCCAGCAACGCCGCGUGAAGGAAGAAGGCUUUCGGGUUGUAAACUUCUUUUGUCAGGGACGAGUAGAAGACGGUACCUGACGAAUAAGCCACGGCUAACUACGUGCCAGCAGCCGCGGUAAUACGUAGGUGGCAAGCGUUGUCCGGAUUUACUGGGUGUAAAGGGCGUGUAGCCGGGAGGGCAAGUCAGAUGUGAAAUCCACGGGCUCAACUCGUGAACUGCAUUUGAAACUACUCUUCUUGAGUAUCGGAGAGGCAAUCGGAAUUCCUAGUGUAGCGGUGAAAUGCGUAGAUAUUAGGAGGAACACCAGUGGCGAAGGCGGCUUUCUGGACGAUAACUGACGCUGAGGCGCGAAAGCGUGGGGAGCAAACAGGAUUAGAUACCCUGGUAGUCCACGCUGUAAACGAUGAAUACUAGGUGUGCGGGGACUGACCCCCUGCGUGCCGCAGCUAACGCAAUAAGUAUUCCACCUGGGGAGUACGAUCGCAAGGUUGAAACUCAAAGGAAUUGACGGGGGCCCGCACAAGCGGUGGAUUAUGUGGUUUAAUUCGAAGCAACGCGAAGAACCUUACCAGGGCUUGACAUCCUACUAACGAGAUAGAGAUAUGUUAGGUGCCCUUCGGGGAAAGUAGAGACAGGUGGUGCAUGGUUGUCGUCAGCUCGUGUCGUGAGAUGUUGGGUUAAG